GUGUAAUCGAUCAGGAGGAAAGGGAAAGGGGUGCGAACCCUAAUUCAUGAAAGAUCUUCAAAUUGAAAGAGGAAUUCAAGUUUAAAUUCGUGUAUGAACCAAGAUUCUUAAUCACCCAAGUGUUCUACACACCAAGAGUCAUGUCAACAUGGACAUAAACAUGGAAGGACAACGAGUCAAAGGUAAACACGGAAGCUAUGCACGGACUCGGAUGCACGAGGUAUGAGAACGUCGGGUUCAUGAGGAGUUGUAGCCGAACUUGGAACAAAAGAAUUUAGGAGGAUAACCGAAUGAAUUCAAGUUUAUAUUGUGGAAUGCUAUACGAUUUUUCAGUUAUAUAGAAUAAUGUUGCAUGGUGUUGUCAAUGACUAACGGUUAAGUUGUAUAUGAUGUUCACAGGAACCACACGGAUUUUCCUCCAUCGAGCAUAGAUCGAUGUCAAAAAGCAAGGAUUGUACGGAAAGAUUGAUCACAUAGUUUCAAUUAUGUAACGCUUUGAAAUGUUAAUUAAAUGUAAAUGUUUGACAUGUUGUAAUUGAACCUUCACGUAAGUAAU
rnacentral:lncRNA from 1 species